rnacentral:rRNA from 1 species
GGGAUUUUCGGCAAUGGGCGCAAGCCUGACCGAGCAACGCCGCGUGCGGGACGACGCCCUUCGGAGUGUAAACCGCUUUUCCCGGGGACGAGACUGACGGUACCCGGGGAAUAAGUCUCGGCUAACUACGUGCCAGCAGCCGCGGUAAGACGUAGGAGACAAGCGUUGUCCGGAGUUACUGGGCGUAAAGCGCGCGCAGGCGGCUCUGUACGCUGCCGGUGAAAGCUCCCGGCUCACCUGGGAGAGGUUCGGCAGAACGGCAGGGCUUGAGGGCGGUAGAGGGUGGUGGAAUUCCCGGUGUAGUGGUGAAAUGCGUAGAGAUCGGGAGGAACACCCGUGGCGAAGGCGGCCACCUGG